UUGCGUCCGCUCCUUUUCGAUUCGCCAGAUAUGUGAUCUAUUCGCCUUUAUUUAUGUUAUAUGGAUUAUUACCACAAUGCUGGGUAGAAGAUUGUUAUUUUUAUUUUAUACUGCGUGAAUUGUCGGCUUGAUUUCAACAUAUUUCUUUCUGGUUUAAACGGCACUAUUUAUUAUAAAACAAAACUAUAAAUUAGCCGAAUUUGGCUGUCGGUAUUAAUUAUUGAUUUAGCUCAUUUUCAGCAAAAAUGUUUUCAAUCCAGUCGUUCUUCUAACCAAGUUUUCAAAACCCGUCAUAUUUCCUGUCAUGUCAAUUUAGUCGAUGGAUCGGAGAGACGGUGUGUUCUUUGCUCCGUUCAGUUUUUGAAAAAUCUCCGGAUUUUUUAAUUUUUGCGCGAAAAAUUGAACAAUUUCUCAAAAAGGAACGUUUUCUUCACAGUUUAGUGUGAUUUUCCCGUUUCCGACUGUGAUUUUACCAAAGAAAUCGCGACUUUUCAAAAUGGGGACUUCUGACGUUUUCUGUCAAGUGGGACUGAAGUCAGUCGCCUCCUGAUGGCUAAAAUUAUAACUAAAAGUUAUAGUAGUAAUUUAACCCUUGUUGACAUUGAUGUUUACAUCUGAUUGUAAUUUGUUUUGUUCUAAUCAAAUUUUACAAGCCUCUAAAGAAAUAGGAACAUAUCGAAAAAGGUCGCCACCACCGGUAGUCGAACUAGCGAAUAGCAGUAACUACGGAAUCUACAUUUGGAGUUUCAAGAGAAUAUUGAGGUUUUUCCAGACUUUCUGCAAUCUAUGGACUACUUGGAUUCAAGAUUGAACCGCUUACUUCUAUUGAAAGGCACAAAAUGUU